UGGCUCAGCGGUUAAGAGCACUGCUCUAGCAGAAGACCUGGGUUCAAUCCCCAG
rnacentral:tRNA from 1 species